rnacentral:rRNA from 1 species
CAGCAGCCGCGGUAAUACGGAGGGCGCGAGCGUUACCCGGAUUUACUGGGCGUAAAGGGCGUGUAGGCGGCCUGGGGCGUCCCAUGUGAAAGGCCACGGCUCAACCGUGGAGGAGCGUGGGAUACGCUCAGGCUAGAGGGUGGGAGAGGGUGGUGGAAUUCCCGGAGUAGCGGUGAAAUGCGCAGAUACCGGGAGGAACGCCGAUGGCGAAGGCAGCCACCUGGUCCACUUCUGACGCUGAGGCGCGAAAGCGUGGGGAGCAAACCGGAUUAGAUACCCGGGUAGUCCCUGUCUCUUAUAC